rnacentral:tRNA from 1 species
AUAGCUCAAUUGGUAGAGCAGCGGGCUGAUGAUCCAAAGGUCCAGGGUUCAACUCCCAGU